UACGGAGGGUGCAAGCGUUAUCCGGAUUCACUGGGUUUAAAGGGUGCGUAGGUGGGCAGGUAAGUCAGUGGUGAAAUCCUGUAGCUUAACUACAGAACUGCCAUUGAUACUAUCUGUCUUGAAUACCCUGGAGGUGAGCGGAAUAUGUCAUGUAGCGGUGAAAUGCUUAGAUAUGACAUAGAACACCCAUUGCGAAGGCAGCUCACUACGGGAAUAUUGACGCUGAGGCACGAAAGCGUGGGGAGCAAACAGG
rnacentral:rRNA from 1 species